rnacentral:lncRNA from 1 species
UGGGACAAAUUAGUGUCAGAGUAUGACGUGUUACAAGGUAAGAAGCUCCUGGUUUUGCCCUGCUAGUUACAUCUAAGAAUUAUUUGAGAUACACAUCAGCUGUGGUUUACCAGUGAGACAUUAUAAUCCUCUGCUGCUAAAUUCCUGAGCAUUUUUUUCCCAAUACACUCAAUUUAUUGGGAACAGAUUACCUUAAUUUUUCCCAUGUUUCUUCACCGUACUUUUCAACCACCAAAGACUUCAGGCAUGUAUUUAUAAAUCCAUACUGCAAAGGCAAAUACAGGAAAGCAUGGAAAAGACGUACUAAUUUUCAAAAUGCAGCCCAAAUGCCACCUUUUUUGUAUUUAAGUUUCCCCGGCUAGUUUUAUAUUGCAAAAGAGAAAGUAAUAAUGUUCGACAGCCAUUAUGUCUUUCAGUAAACAGCACAGCCUUUAUCCCAGCGUUUCAUGAGCAUCCAGAGAAACACAGCCAGCGUGCUCCAUCCUGGUUUGCAGCGAAGGACAGAGACACCAGCUUGGGGACGUGUCCUGCAGCCCAGAGCGUGUCCCCUGCGCUGGUGGGACCAGCAGCCGUGCCCAGCUCCAGCAUCAGGGGGUCACUGGGCUGCUCGCCCUUCACAGUCCAUGGCCCGUGAUGUGCUCUCGGCCACCUCUGUAAUCUCCAGCUGGAUAACAGAAGCCUUCCAGAAUAGCCUUCUGGGAAAGGGAAAGCUGAGUAUUUCUGAAGCACUGCAAUGCAAACAACCCAGCUCCAAAUGA